UUCUGAGAGGGCUGCUUGAGCAGGUUACUCCGAUAUAGUAAAUAGUAAGAUUCAGAUCUUCCUCAGUAU
rnacentral:tRNA from 2 species